GCCCGCCUAGCUCAAUCGGAUAGAGCGUCAGACUCUUACGUCGGGGGGCCUAAACCCGUAUCAAAAUCUGAAGGCUGGGAGUUCGACCCUCCCGGUGGGCU